rnacentral:rRNA from 1 species
UACGAAGGUCCCAAGCGUUAUCCGGAUUUAUUGGGUUUAAAGGGUGCGUAGGCGGGCUAUUAAGUCAGUGGUGAAAGCCCCAAGCUUAACUUGGGAACUGCCAUUGAUACUGAUGGUCUUGAGUACAUUUGAGGUGGGCGGAAUGUGUCAUGUAGCGGUGAAAUGCGUAGAUAUCGGAAGGAACACCAGUGGCGAAAGCGGCUUCCUGGUCCAGCACCGACGUUCAGGCACGAAAGCGUGGGGAGCAAACAGG